GGGGAAAAAAGUCAAUCCAGUCUAAGGGGAAAGGAAAGGUUAAAAGAAAGUCAUAUUUAUAAUGGACUAUCACAGACAGACUAGUUCCAUCAGUCAAACAACAAGGAAAAACACCUCACUUGGGCCAUUCAGCACAAGACAACAAACAACGACAAUUGUAUGAGUUUGGACCUAAGAUGAUGGCCGUUGCAGUGAAAGGAACCUUUUCUGACUCUUUUUGAAAGUAGAUUUUUCUAAAUGCCUGCAGGAGACAGCUCAGUAUGAUGAAUCUCGUCCAAUGCUGUUAAUCUCUAAAG